GAUUAACGCUGGCGGCGUGCCUAACACAUGCAAGUCGAGCGGCAGCGAGUUUUACACUGAAUUCUGGAAGCUUCUAGUUGAAAGAGAAGAUUUAUUCAAGAAUUUUGUGUAAAAUGUCGGCGAGCGGCGGACGGCUGGGUAACGCGUGGGAACGUACCCCAAAGUGAGGGAUAACGCAUCGAAAGGUGUGCUAAUACCGCAUAUGGUCUUCGGAUUAAAGCCUUCGGGCGCUUUGGGAACGGCCUGCGUAAGAUUAGAUAGUUGGUGGGGUAAUGGCCUACCAAGUCGACGAUCUUUAACUGGUUUGAGAGGAUGAUCAGUCAGACUGGAACUGAGACACGGUCCAGACUCCUACGGGAGGCAGCAGUGAGGAAUCUUCCACAAUGGGCGAAAGCCUGAUGGAGCAACGCCGCGUGCAGGAUGAAGGCCUUCGGGUUGUAAACUGCUUUUAUAAGUGAGGAUUAUGACAGUAACUUAUGAAUAAGGAUCGGCUAACUACGUG
rnacentral:rRNA from 1 species